rnacentral:rRNA from 1 species
GAUGAACGCUAGCUACAGGCUUAACACAUGCAAGUCGAGGGGCAGCGCAGUGUAGCAAUACAUGGGCGGCGACCGGCGCACGGGUGCGUAACGCGUAUCCAACCUUCCCGUUACUCAGGGAUAGCCUUCCGAAAGGGAGAUUAAUACCUGAUGGUGUUCAAAUUCCGCAUGUUAUUUGAAUUAAGAUUAAUCGGUAACGGAUGGGGAUGCGUGACAUUAGAUAGUAGGCGGGGUAACGGCCCACCUAGUCUACGAUGUCUAGGGGUUCUGAGAGGAAGGUCCCCCCACACUGGAACUGAGACACGGUCCAGACUCCUACGGGAGGCAGCAGUGAGGAAUAUUGCACAAUGGGGGAAACCCUGAUGCAGCAACGCCGCGUGAGGGAAGACGGUUUUUCGGACUUGGUAAACCUCUGUCCUCUGUGAAGAGAAAGUGACGGUAGCAGAGGAGGAAGUCCACGGGCUAACUACGUG